GAGUGUUUGGUCACGUGCGCAAUGUCUUGCCCGUCGAUGGCGAUCCGGCCGCCGUCGAGAUCGUAGAAGCGCUGCAGGAGCGCGAAAAGCGUCGACUUGCCCGCCCCCGACGGGCCGACGAUGGCCGUCGCCCUGCCGGCCUUCGCCUCGAAACUCACCCCAUGCAGAACCGGCAUGUGCUCA
rnacentral:misc_RNA from 1 species